rnacentral:tRNA from 1 species
GGUAAAAUGGCUGAGUAUAUUAGGCGAUAAAUUGUAAAUUUAUUUAGGAAAUUAAAUUUCUUUUACCA